AUACUGACCUGGCAGGGGAAAUGCCAUGAUUAACAAUAUGUUUAUCCCAAAGCGUGGCUUAUCCAGCUUACUCCAGAUGUGCCAAACCCUGUGAGUAUGGGAAACUUGACCGCAUAAUUUGUGGUAGUUGUGGGGGGGAGGAUUGUGAUUGUGCUCUCUCCUA